rnacentral:rRNA from 1 species
GACGAACGCUGGCGGCGCGCCUAACACAUGCAAGUCGAACGGAGCUGCGAGAAGCUUGCUUUUCUUAGCUUAGUGGCGAACGGGUGAGUAACGCGUGAGUAACCUGCCCUGGAGUGGGGGACAACAGGUGGAAACGACUGCUAAUACCGCAUAAGCCCACUAUCCGGCAUCUGCUUGAGGGAAAAGGGUUUAUUCGCUUCAGGAUGGACUCUCGUCCAAUUAGCUAGUUGGUGAGGUACCGGCACACCAAGGCGAGGAUUGGUUGCCGGACUGAGCGGUUGCACCGUCACAAUGGGACUGAGACACGGCCCAGACUGCUACGCGACGCAGGAGUGGGGGAUAUUGCACACUGGGGCAAAACGUGAUGACGCGACGCCGGGUGGAGGAAGAAGGUGUUCGGAUUGUACACUCCUGUGGUUAGGGACGAUAAUGACGGUACCUAACAAGAAAGCACCGGCUAACUACGUG